UUUUUUUUUUACCCCCAUUGAUAUAACAAAAUCCCUACAAAAGUUGCAGCCGCACACAGACUACCCUUCAUUGUUUUCUCUUCUGAUCUCCGAUCACCGGAAGAAUACACUCCGACCGGCAACAGUUCCUGGCCACACCACAGCCCCUACUACCACCCCUUUCCCCUUGCCUCGUUCCCACUUACACCCCUUCCCUCGUCUGCCAACGACCAACACCGUUUUUCCGCAACAACCGGCACUUCGGCGUCAUGCUUCUCUGAUAAGCACACCCCGACACCCUUUUGUUCCCUCCCUCUCGGUUAUACAUGAAUGGCCAGCCACCAGAGUGGUGGCGAUGCACGCCAGCGACGGUAUCGUCAUGGUGACGGUGGUUCGAGUCCGGUAUAGCUGUGAAGAAGAGCCGCAACGACGGCGGCGCCGGCAACCGUGGCCGCAUCAGCGACGGCUGUGGGCGGUGGUGAACCGAGUUGGUGGUGGUUCUGUUGGUCACUAGCGGUGACGGAAGUGGUGGUGAUGGCACGCUUCGGAUGCCGGAGUUUACCAAAACGAGUUGACGAACUGAUGAGAUUAGGGUUUGACUGAUCAACUAUUAAACAAGCAUUUAAUCUAACCGAGCAAACCCAAGGUCGUUAGAUUAUAUGGAUUUGGAACUUGCUGUCUGAAGUAGCUGGAGUGGUCAUGGGUCAUGCUGAUUGGAUACAAAUGAUGGGUUUAUUGAUUACAUACAAUUAACCUGAAACAGUUAACUAUGUUUUCUUUUAUAUGCUUCCGCUGAACAUCUUGGUUUUCAUUUAAACUUGUUAACGGUACUUUUCAGUAAUAAUUGAUGAUCUUACUCAACAUUUGUGAUUGGUUCAAUAUGAUUAGUGGCUCGUUA